AUUGAACGCUGGCGGCAUGCCUUACACAUGCAAGUCGAACGGCAGCACGGGAGCUUGCUCCUGGUGGCGAGUGGCGAAUGGGUGAGUAAUGCAUCGGAACGUGCCCUUCAGUGGGGGAUAACUACCCGAAAGGGUGGCUAAUACCGCAUAUUCUCUGAGGAGGAAAGUGGGGGACCGCAAGGCCUCGCGCUGAAGGAGCGGCCGAUGUCGGAUUAGCUAGUUGGUGGGGUAAAGGCCUACCAAGGCGACGAUCCGUAGCAGGUCUGAGAGGAUUAUCUGCCACACUGGGACUGAGGCACGGCCCAGACUCCCACGGGAGGCAGCAGUGGGGAAUUUUGGACAAUGGGGGCAACCCUGAUCCAGCCAUGCCGCGUGAGUGAAGAAGGCCUUCGGGUUGUAAAGCUCCUUCAGCAGGAACGAAACGGUAGUUACUAAUACUAGCUGCUAAUGACGGUACCUGAAGAAGAAGCACCGGCUAACUACGUGCCAGCAGCCGCCGUAA
rnacentral:rRNA from 1 species